AACCUUCGGGGAACGAUAACGGCGUCGAGCGGCGGACGGGUGAGUAAUGCCUAGGAAAUUGCCCUGAUGUGGGGGAUAACCAUUGGAAACGAUGGCUAAUACCGCAUGAUGCCUACGGGCCAAAGAGGGGGACCUUCGGGCCUCUCGCGUCAGGAUAUGCCUAGGUGGGAUUAGCUAGUUGGUGAGGUAAGGGCUCACCAAGGCGACGAUCCCUAGCUGGUCUGAGAGGAUGAUCAGCCACACUGGAACUGAGACACGGUCCAGACUCCUACGGGAGGCAGCAGUGGGGAAUAUUGCACAAUGGGCGCAAGCCUGAUGCAGCCAUGCCGCGUGUGUGAAGAAGGCCUUCGGGUUGUAAAGCACUUUCAGUCGUGAGGAAGGUAGUGUAGUUAAUAGCUGCAUUAUUUGACGUUAGCGACAGAAGAAGCACCGGCUAACUCCGUGCCAGCAGCCGCGGUAAUACGGAGGGUGCGAGCGUUAAUCGGAAUUACUGGGCGUAAAGCGCAUGCAGGUGGUUUGUUAAGUCAGAUGUGAAAGCCCGGGGCUCAACCUCGGAAUAGCAUUUGAAACUGGCAGACUAGAGUACUGUAGAGGGGGGUAGAAUUUCAGGUGUAGCGGUGAAAUGCGUAGAGAUCUGAAGGAAUACCGGUGGCGAAGGCGGCCCCCUGGACAGAUACUGACACUCAGAUGCGAAAGCGUGGGGAGCAAACAGGAUUAGAUACCCUGGUAGUCCACGCCGUAAACGAUGUCUACUUGGAGGUUGUGGCCUUGAGCCGUGGCUUUCGGAGCUAACGCGUUAAGUAGACCGCCUGGGGAGUACGGUCGCAAGAUUAAAACUCAAAUGAAUUGACGGGGGCCCGCACAAGCGGUGGAGCAUGUGGUUUAAUUCGAUGCAACGCGAAGAACCUUACCUACUCUUGACAUCCAGAGAACUUUCCAGAGAUGGAUUGGUGCCUUCGGGAACUCUGAGACAGGUGCUGCAUGGCUGUCGUCAGCUCGUGUUGUGAAAUGUUGGGUUAAGUCCCGCAACGAGCGCAACCCUUAUCCUUGUUUGCCAGCGAGUAAUGUCGGGAACUCCAGGGAGACUGCCGGUGAUAAACCGGAGGAAGGUGGGGACGACGUCAAGUCAUCAUGGCCCUUACGAGUAGGGCUACACACGUGCUACAAUGGCGCAUACAGAGGGCGGCCAACUUGCGAAAGUGAGCGAAUCCCAAAAAGUGCGUCGUAGUCCGGAUUGGAGUCUGCAACUCGACUCCAUGAAGUCGGAAUCGCUAGUAAUCGUGGAUCAGAAUGCCACGGUGAAUACGUUCCCGGGCCUUGUACACACCGCCCGUCACACCAUGGGAGUGGGCUGCAAAAGAAGUAGGUAG
rnacentral:rRNA from 1 species